GGGACGCCCGGGGCUUCAGCCGAUCCCUCGCUUUUUAGAGAAGCCGUGAGGAAAAAGGAUUUCUCUCUGCACGGGGUUAGCGAAGAGCUGCAGCCUACAGAGAGGAAGAAGAGAACCCCCGAUCUCCACCCAACCGCAACCCCAACCCUAAACCCGAAACUAACCCUACCCGUUGUGGCGCGCGGAAGAAGAGCGAAGGGGAGAAGAGGAAGAAACCCUAGAAAAGUCCCUGAUUCUAGGGUUUCCUCCAUCGGUAGAAACCCUAAUUCGAAGUUCUUAUCGUUGUUGUUUUGAUUUUAUUCGUUUUUUAAAUCGUUCGAGUUAUUUAUCCCGAUUCGCGACAUGGCGAAGGGGGAGGAGCAUUCUCGCAGGAAGCACCGGCGAUCAGGUGAUGGCGGCGAGGAUAGUGAAAGUGAUUCUAAGCGGCGGAAGCACCACAGUCGGAGCAGCCGACAUCACCAUCACCGCCACCGGAGCAAGCACAGGUCCGACGAGCAAGAAGAGACGGGCGAUCGAAACGUCGAUCGCCCGGUCGCGGUUGCUCGCGUGGACGACGAGAUGGAGGAGGGUGAGAUACUUGAAGAUGAGGAUGUUGUAGAGGUGAAGGGGAAUUCAGAGGCGGAGUCCGGGGAGAUCAAGCUGCAGGAAGCCGUGGAAGAUGCCUCUAGCCUGAAGUCUUCUGCCGAGGAGAUGCUUCUUUAUGGGGAGAGGAAUGCAUCUGCCGGACAGGACAUGCAUGUUAGCAAGGAAAACAAUCCACUUGUUGAAGGAGCUAAGGGGAUUUUAAUGCAUCUUCCUACAGCUGAUUUACUGAUCAUAUCUCAAGGAGACAAUAAUGUUUUAGAGGAUAGUUGUCUUGACAGAGGGAGCUUAGAUGAAAAUACGGCAGGUAGAAAUAAAGAGAGAAACAAAAGUGACAUUGCACACAAAAAAUCCGGUUCCAAUGGGAUUUCUGCAAAUGGAAGUUCUGCUGUUACAAAUAAAAUCGCUCCAUCUUCACUACACAGGGCCUUGCCAGGGGAGUCAAGUCCUCAUUUUAUUUUUGGACAUGAAGAUGCUUCUUCAGGCAAAUAUGACAAAGGAAGAAGACAGGAACCCUUGAAUAAUUCGCCAAGUGCUCAUGCUAGUUCUGGUGGAGACUGUGAGUCUAACAAGAGUUGUCUGCAAGGAAAUGGUUCCAGGCGUGCUGGCUUGGAUGUUGAAGUCGCAGUGCACGAAAUGGAUGUUGACGAAUCCCUCUCUCCAAUUCCCAGAGAUACAGUUUCAGCAAAGCACAAAAGUAGAGAUCAUUAUUUCAGCAAAAGUGAGCAUUCCGGCUAUCCGACAAGCAGCACAGAAGGUAGUGACGUAAAGAUUAGUUCUGGCUCCAAAGAACUUAAAGCGAAUGGUUCAGAAAGUAAGAAGAGAUCAUUAUCACCAGAAUCUCCAACUGACAAAUAUGGGAGAAGGAUCCGAUCUCCAUCUGAUGUUGCACAUGGCAGAAAUAAGUCACCAUCUUACAGUCUUAGAAGGGAAAAGGCGUCCCAGUCCAUGGAUAAUUUGCGUGACAAACAUUCUACGCAGGUCUCAGAGAUAAACAUAUCUAAAGACAAGGAUCGAGCAAGACACUCUCAUUAUAGGGAAGAGAAAACAAAUUUAAUGGACCUUGGCAAGUCUUCUUGUCGCCAAAAGCUUAGAGAGGAUUAUCUUGACAGCAAGAAUCAUUAUGUAGAUUUAGACAAAGAGCAUGGACACAAUAGAGGUACCAGCAAGGAUAGAUCUCGAAAUAGUGUUUCCAGCAGACAUGGAGAAAGGGAUGAGAGACGUGACACGUGGGAUAAAGACCUGGAAAAGGAUAGGGACAGAGAAAGGAAUAGGCACAGUUCUCGAGAUAGAGGCCGGGAAAGAGACACUGAGAGGGCAAGUCACAGGGAUAGGGAUAGGGAAAGUGAUAGGGUAACUGUAAGGGACAGGGAUAGGGAGAGCAACAGGCACCAUUUUCGCAGUAGGGAUAGGGAAGAGGACGGAGUUAAGGAAAGUGACAGGCAUGGUUCUCAAGAUAGGCAAAGAGACCGAGACAAGGGAAGGAACAGGCACGAUUCCAGGGAAAGGUCCAGGGAGUUGGAUUUAGCAAGGGAACGAGAUAAAGAGAAGAGCCGAUACAGUUCUCGCAGUAGGGACGGAGGGAGGCAAAUGGACAGAAAUGGGGAUAGGGACUGGGAGAAGGAUCAACACGUGGUUAAGGAUAGAGAACGAGAUGGGGAUGCUCCAUCUAAAAAAUACAGGUUUGAUAGCUCAGAAGAUCGCCAUGGUAGGCGAGACAGGCAUUCAAAAUAUGAUGAUAUGGAACAUGGUAAGUACGGUUCAAGAACGAGGGAGUCAGCCAAAGAUCAUAGUGACGUGAAUGAACAUGGCAAAGAUGUUACAACCAGGGAAGAAGAUGAAGAGGAAGGUUUUCAAGAAAGAAUAGCUUUACAGCUGGAGGAACAAGAAGAAGAAGAUAUCGAAAAGAUCAAAGAGGAAAGCAGGAAAAGGAGACAAGCAAUUCUUGAAAAAUACAAGCAGCGACAACCUCAACAAGAUGAGAAGCCAACAAAUGCUAUUGAGAACCACAGCGAUAACUUGUCACAUGCAGAAGAUGAUGCGGCCUUGUCACAUGCAGAAGAUGAUGCGGCCUUGUCACAUGCAGAAGAUGAUGCGGCUGCUGUUCGUGAAGUAUCUUCUGGUGAUGGACAUGAUUCCUCCAGCCUUCCUGUUGCUGUUCCAGCGUUUUCUGUUGACAAACUGCCAGUGCAGAAUGGAAAUUUGAAUUCAGAUGGGCCAUCUGGUGAGAAAGGAUUGGGUGAUGGAUCUCCAAAGAGUGAGAAGUUAGAGGAUAUGUUCUGCGACGACAUCUUUGGAGAGUCUCCUGCUGGUUUCCGGAAACUGGGAAGGGGUGAUGGUCUGCAAGUUGAUAAAAGUGGGCUUCAUGACAAUUGGGACGAUCCAGAGGGCUAUUACAAUUACCGAAUAGGAGAAGUGCUUGAUGGCCGAUAUGAAAUUACCGCUGGGCAUGGAAAAGGUGUUUUUUCAACUGUGGUUCGUGCUAAGGAUCUCAAAGCUGGGAAAGGAGAUCUUGAGGAAAUCGCUGUAAAAAUUAUACGUAACAAUGAGACAAUGUACAAGGCUGGUAUGGAAGAGGUCAACAUCUUGAAUAAGCUUGUUGGUGCUGAUCCUGAAGAUAGACGACACUGUGUUAGGUUUUUAUCAAGUUUCAAAUAUCGUAACCAUCUUUGUUUGGUUUUUGAAUCUCUUCAUAUGAAUCUUCGUGAGGUUCUGAAGAAGUUUGGUCGCAAUAUUGGCCUUAAACUAACAGCUGUGAGGGCAUACGCGAAGCAGCUUUUCAUUGCAUUGAAGCAUCUUAAGAAUUGUGGCGUUUUACACUGUGAUAUAAAACCUGACAAUAUGUUGGUGAAUGAGGCCAAAAAUGUGCUGAAACUUUGCGAUUUUGGUAAUGCUAUGUUUGCUGGGAAGAAUGAGAUUACACCAUAUCUAGUUAGCCGCUUUUAUCGAGCCCCCGAAAUCAUUCUUGGCUUGCCGUAUGACCAUGCUUUGGACAUAUGGUCAAUUGGCUGCUGUUUGUACGAGCUAUAUACAGGAAAGGUCCUCUUCCCUGGACCAUCAAACAAUGACAUGCUUCGGCUUCAUAUGGAAUUAAAAGGUCCAUUUCCUAAAAAGAUGCUCAGGAAGGGAGCCUUUACAGAUCAUCAUUUUGAUCAGGAUCUGAAUUUCCAUGCCACUGAAGAAGACCCUGUGACAAAGAAGGCUGUGAAGCGACUGCUUGUCAACAUUAAGGCAAAGGAUUUUAGUAGUCUUAUUUCAAGCUAUCCUGGUGAGGAUCCCAAGAUGCUGGCCAAUUUCAAAGAUCUGCUUGAUAGAAUUUUUGUGCUCGAUCCGGAGAAAAGAUUGACAGUAUCUCAAGCACUGAGUCAUCCAUUCAUUACGGGCAAGUGAAUAAAGAUGCUGAUAUUUCUGAUCCAGAACUGCUGUUGAGUUAGCUAUGCAUUUGAAUCUUUUAUUCAGCCAUCUGAUCAUUGGGCAUUUGCUUGUCUCUAUCUGUGUCACUUGGACCAAGUGCAAGCAGUGCAGACUUCUUGCUGAUCGUGAGCUUAACACAGCCACUCUGGAGAGCUCUCUUACUUGGCGAGUCUUUUCAGUCGAAUAUAUUCUGUUUCUAUUGGCUUAUGGCAGUUCUCUGAGGCAAAUAUAACAAUGGUUUUGAUGGUUGAAGACAGCAGAAAGAAGGGCAGAUGAUUUCUGGUGUCUUUUAUGCACGUUGUCUGGACAGUUUUCUUGUCUUCAUGCAUAUAUUUACACAGAAAAAGGAGGGGUUGGGGGUGCUCAAAGUCCACCCCAGCCAUCCUGAAAGCCAGUAGGAUCUCACAUUCAGCCAUUAUCUCUCAACACCGAGCGUGUUGACCGAAGUGUAAUGCCCACGGAAAUUGAACCUGAGAUGCAGUCCACGUGUUGGACCUACACGCAGGUUGGUGUGAGAGAGGAGAGAGCUGGUGCAGCCAAAACUUAGAAAUACUCCGACUGGAUCUACCAUUUUGCGCACUUAGUUUUAAUACUUUUUCAUGUCAUGGAAAGAUGUUGCCGUGGACCAGGGGAGGCAUUUUAAUCAACGCUUGACCUGUCACAACAGAAGCUUUCGCUGCUUGUGGAACCUUGUGGUCGCUUGGCUAAGAUAUGUUAAUGUAACUGCCAUUUGAUGUCACCUAUUCUCUUGAGGGCCACACAAGAACUUCCAAGCUACCAUGUUUUUAUAUACUUUUACCGUGUAAUCUUAAAACGGCUGAAGUUCGUUUACUUCGCAAUUGUUGACUUCGAAAUGUUUUCCAAUUUGUUGGUCUUGUGUGCAACAAAUUUAUCGACCAGGGCAUCAAUCUAGUUUGUUGAUUUUUUUUGUACGUUCACCUGUGUUUGAGCAGCGUUUCUACGGCUUGUAUGUGCUUGAACCUGAAUAAGUUUGUGAACUUUGGGUUUCUAUGUGCCUCAUAUCAUGUAAUGGACAAGUAAAUUUCUCAGUUCUUUU